GCAUAUCAAUAAGCGGAGGAAAAGAAACCAACAGGGAUUGCCCUAGUAACGGCGAGUGAAGCGGCAACAGCUCAAAUUUGAAAUCUGGCGCAAGCCCGAGUUGUAAUUUGUAGAGGAUGUUUCUGGCGACGUGCCUUCCGAGUUCCCUGGAACGGGACGCCAUAGAGGGUGAGAGCCCCGUACGGUUGGAUGCCUAGCCUCUGUGAAACUCCUUCGACGAGUCGAGUAGUUUGGGAAUGCUGCUCUAAAUGGGAGGUAUACGUCUUCUAAAGCUAAAUACCGGCCAGAGACCGAUAGCGCACAAGUAGAGUGAUCGAAAGAUGAAAAGCACUUUGAAAAGAGGGUUAAAAAGUACGUGAAAUUGUUGAAAGGGAAGCGUUCAUGACCAGACUUGAGCAGGUUGAUCAUCCGUGGUUCUCCGCGGUGCACUCUGCCUGCUCAGGCCAGCAUCAGUUCGUUCCGGGGGAUAAAGGCUCUGGGAAUGUGGCUCCCUCGGGAGUGUUAUAGCCCACUGCGUAAUACCCUGGGAUGGACUGAGGUUCGCGCUCUGCAAGGAUGCUGGCGUAAUGGUCAUCAACGACCCGUCUUGAAACACGGACCAAGGAGUCGUCUUCGUAUGCGAGUGUUCGGGUGUCAAACCCCUACGCGUAAUGAAAGUGAACGUAGGAGAGAGCUUCGGCGCAUCUCCGACCGAUCCUGAUGUUCUCGGAUGGAUUUGAGUAAGAGCAUACGGGGCCGGACCCGAAAGAAGGUGAACUAUGCCUGUAUAGGGUGAAGCCAGAGGAAACUCUGGUGGAGGCUCGCAGCGGUUCUGACGUGCAAAUCGAUCGUCAAAUAUGGGCAUGGGGGCGAAAGACUAAUCGAACCUUCUAGUAGCUGGUUUCCGCGA
rnacentral:rRNA from 2 species